CAGAGAUACAUAGGUCGGUCACUGUCAUUCAAAAUCACCCAGCAACAACAUCAUAAAAGUUUCAUUAACAACCAAAGUUCACAAUAUUGGCAUCUAAUGUCUUGAAAAGACAUUAAAGAGGGGCAACUCAACGUCUUAAACAGAACUUCAUUCUACAUUAAAACAGACACAUGUAUCAAAUCAAGUCAAGCCAACAGAAGCUGCAUCCCCGCAGUGACCAAACUCUAGCUAAUAACAAACAAGGAUAUGAAGGAUGCACUCAACACAGAAUUUUCACAAAACUUCUGGUUAAACGUCUUUACAACAGUUAAGACAACAGUCUCAUCAGAAAUUUAGGACAACUAUUCUCUUAAUGCUAAUAGCAGAAGAUUUUGGAAGCCAAUUGAAACCACUUGUGCUGGAUUAGAUUGUGCCCCACCACAUCUACCACGAAGCCAACCAAAGUACAGAUCCUCUAUCAACAUGUGAAAUCAAACCUGCAGAGCAGUAUAAACUAUAUUGAGUUUUCAGUUUAAAUACUUUGUUAUAGGGUACCCAAUGGGGCAGAGGACCAUUCUCAUCGAAUGCGUCCUAUUUAAGAACUUGUUCCACUAAGCAGAAAGGUACUAAAGCUGGUGUGAUUUCUUCAGCCCUGCCAGGUGAGAAAAGUGCAGAGUUAAGACCAUCUUUUGGCUCAAGCAAUGCUUUCAUUGCAUCGAAAAAGGUUGGCAGACCCUCUAAAAAUGUAGCUUCUGCCGCAUCAAUUUCUAAACCAGAAGCCACUGACAGUGUUGACAUAUCAGUAUUAUCAUAAGCAUUAUGAUUUCCACAAUCAGGUGUUGCUGUAUGGGGACUCCAUUCAUCUUGUUCAGAGACUAAUAUAUCACUUGUCUGUUCACCUUUGUCAUAAGCUGAUACAGGAGUCAUCUCAUCCAGAUUAUGAUCUUCCACGUUGGAACCCAUAUUGUCACUUCGUGCGCAUUCAUCACAAGAUGAAUUAACUGCCAUCGCACUUUCAGAAGCUGAAGCCAACUGUUUUGGUUCACUAUUGCUUAUAUGUCCCUUUGACUUUGCCUUCAACUUACAGAGAAGGAAAUUUCCCUGUAAAUGUUGAAGUACAAAAUCAAUAAAUUCAAAGUGAAAAAUGUGACCAGCCAAAGCAAAUUUAAAAAAGCUAUAACCAAUGAAACCUCACAAAACGAGAAUUUCAUUAAAUCUAGGCUAAAAUCUUCUAAUCACACUCAUAGUCGUAUCAUAUUUCAUAUAACUUCUGAAUAAGCAAGGGUAUCACGAUAUAUUUUUCAUUGGUGACAAACACAUUGGUGAGGUCAAAAUCCAAGUCUAGAAAGUAGGAACAUAUAACAAAAUACAAAUUAGCAGUCAAAUGAUUUCCCAAACACAUUGAUCAAGCAAAAACAAACAAACUAGUUGUUUCUAGUACGAACUCUUGACUAGCAUUACCUGUGGAAUGUAUUCAUACUCGUGCAUGAUCCAUUUUGUCCUGACCGCUUUAGCUUUCGGAUGUUCCUUUUCAUAGAAAACCAAAGUUCUCUUUGUGCCAAUAGGCUUCUUUGUACGAAUAUCUUUCACUUUGCGAGGCUUACCGGUGGGUUUCCAAUACCCAGCCUUGGUAGUCCUGUUGGACCUCCGGCUAUGUGUAUACUUAUAAUCACGGGGACAAAA
rnacentral:misc_RNA from 1 species